rnacentral:rRNA from 1 species
GAUGAACGCUAGCGGCAGGCCUAAUACAUGCAAGUCGAACGGUGUCUUCGGACAUAGUGGCGCACGGGUGCGUAACACGUAUGCAACCUACCUUACAUUGGGGGAUAGCCUUUCGAAAGGGAGAUUAAUACCGCAUAAGACAGUAGCUGGGCAUCCAGCAGCUGUUAAAGAUUUAUCGAUGUAAGCUGGGCAUGCGUCCAAUUAGCUAGUUGGUGAGGUAACGGCUCACCAAGGCAAUGAUUGGUAGGGGAACUGAGAGGUCAAUCCCCCACACUGACACUGGGAUACGGGCCAGACUCCUCCGGGAGGCAGCAGUAGGGAAUAUUGGGCAAUGGACGCAAGUCUGACCCAGCCAUGCCGCGUGCAGGAUGAAGGCGUUAUGCGUUGUAAACUGCUUUUAUACAGGAAGAAGCGACUCUUGCGAGAGGCAUUGACGGUACUGUAUGAAUAAGCACCGGCUAACUCCGUGCCAGCCGCCGCCGUAAUAC